GAUUGGGGGGGAUUUUGGGGUGUUUUGGGGUCACCUGUGCGACAUGAGCCCCCAAAACAACGUGGUACCCCAAAAUUUGGGGGGGAUUUUGGGGGGUUUCAGGGGUCACCUGUGCGACGUGAGCCCCCAAAAUAACGUGGUACCCCAAAACUGGGGGGAUUUCGGGAGGAUUUUGGGGAUUUUGGGGUGUCCUUGGGGUCACCUGUGCGACAUGAGCCCCCAAAACAACGUGGGGCAGCGUCCCUGUGACCUGGCGGACGAGGAGACCCUGCCCCUGCUGGAGGAGCUGCAGCGGCGCCAGCACCACGUGAGACCCCCGAAACCUCCCCAAAAUCUGCGGAAUCCCACCCAAAAAACAACGGCCAAAAUCUGCGGAAUCCCACCCAAAAAACAACCCAUGAAAACCUCCCAAAAAUCCUCCCAAAAAUCCACAAAAUCCCACCCAAAAAUGCACAAAACCCCCCCCAAAACCCCCAAAAUCCAACCCAAAAUCCCCAAAAUUCACCCAAAAAAGCCCAAAUUCCCCCCA
rnacentral:lncRNA from 1 species